ACAGCCCAGCCUUAGAAUCGGGCGGCUCCGCCGUCCGAAUUGUAGUCUAGCUGGAGAGCGCCUCAGCGGCGGACCGGGCCCAAGCCCCUGGAAGGGGGCGCCAGAGAGGGUGAGAGCCCCGUUGUGCCCGGACCCUGCGCACCACGAGGCGCUGUCUACGAGUCGGGUUGUUUGGGAAUGCAGCCCAAAUCGGGCGGUGAAUUCCGUCCAAGGCUAAAUACGGGCGAGAGACCGAUAGCGAACAAGUACCGCGAGG
rnacentral:ncRNA from 1 species